CCUACGGGAGGCUGCAGUGGGGAAUAUUGGACAAUGGGGGCAACCCUGAUCCAGCCAUGCCGCGUGUGUGAAGAAGGCCCUCGGGUUGUAAAGCACUUUCAGUGAGGAAGAACGCCUGGUGGUUAAUACCCAUCAGGAAAGACAUCACUCACAGAAGAAGCACCGGCUAACUCCGUGCCAGCAGCCGCGGUAAUACGGAGGGUGCGAGCGUUAAUCGGAAUUACUGGGCGUAAAGCGCGCGUAGGUGGAUUGAUAAGCCGGUUGUGAAAGCCCCGGGCUCAACCUGGGAACGGCAUCCGGAACUGUCAAGCUAGAGUGCAGGAGAGGAAGGUAGAAUUCCCGGUGUAGCGGUGAAAUGCGUAGAGAUCGGGAGGAAUACCAGUGGCGAAGGCGGCCUUCUGGACUGACACUGACACUGAGGUGCGAAAGCGUGGGUAGCAAACAGGAUUAGAUACCCUGGUAGUC
rnacentral:rRNA from 1 species